UGAGAAUGUGGUUGUGCCUUUGAAGAGGCAUCUGAAACUGUGGGCGGGGAGGGGGGACAGCAGCAAAUAUGUCUUCUGCCAGCUACAACAACAGCCAGCCACCUCUGUUUAGCCGGAACGUAGCAGAUUCAGGUAUCAUCAGCUGCCUUCCGAUUUCUACAUCUCACAUGCCCUGGGUAACUACAGUAGACAAGGCAUCCAAUGUUCCCAGGAGUGGUCACAAACUCAAGGAGGGAAAGAGAUCAUGAUCGGACAACCACAACAAAUAUGAUGAAAGGAUCAUUACUAUAGCUAGGGUUGCCAUAUUUCAAAAGUAAAAAGCAGGACACCCCGAAAAUCCGGACAUAUGGCAGCCCUAACUCUAGCCAAGAGUGCAGCUACAGUUUUGAGCUGGACUGUCACAGGAGUAGAGAUCAUAGGAGGGAGAGAGAAGAUCGUCACUGGGACACAGAGGCAAAGGAAAGGGCAGCAAACACAAAAUCACAGUGUAAGCAGAAGGUGGAUACCACAAGCAUGACAAGGAAAUGAGAAUGGUGUGCCAGAGGGAAAUGGACAGGACUGCAAGGAAUAUAUCUGUGGUCCAAAAACAGUACCUCUACAAGCAGCCUGUGACUGUUUUUGUGAGGAAAUAAAAAUGGCUGAAAUGAUUAGCAACCGAAAAAGAAAAAAAGAAAAAGCCAGUACAUUUUAUGAACCCAAAGCCACCUGGGAGAAGAAAACCGCACUGUUUAUUCCCUCCCUGUUUGCUCUUUUUCUUCUCCUACCCCCCCCCCAGUUCACUUAGCCUUCCCCCUCCCCAGCUCCCAUCACAGGGAGUUCUACUACCUAAUGGAUUAGCAGUGAUCUUCACAGAUUGCUCACACCUGCAGUUCUGUCUACUCCCCUCUUCCACUUUGCUCAAUCAGCCAUACCUUGGAAACCCGAACGAGGAGGAUCCUCCAGGGAACCUAUUCACCCAAGCAGAUGAGGGGAGCUCAAUAACUACAACUGCCAUCAACAUGAUCUACCAGCCUGCUGCCAUUCUUGGUCCUGGGUAUAUGCAGAUCUCAGGAACGCUGCCCCAAGCAACAGUCUAACUAGGGCCAACAGCGAGUUGGGUGUGUGUUUGUGUGUAUCGCAAAGUUUGCUAGCUGUGUGAUUGUAAAAGCCAUGUCCAUACCAUGUGUUUUUCAUCAAGAGGUACUGCCAGCUGGUGAAAGCAUCCUAUUGUAUUUUUUAUGAGGGUCCGGGAGUGUACUUAGGCAUUCCAGUUGUAUCUUAUUUGGUUUUUAUGUCCUUAAAGUUUAUGGCUGUGGGCAACAUGUGCGUUGUGUCAGGAGUGCAGGAGCACAUUGUAUGGGAGCUCAUGAAUUUGACUGCAAAUGCCAUAAACUAGGCAGCUACAGUUUUUCAGCUCUGUUGGCAAAUCCAUAAACAAACAAACAAAGAAACAAACAAAUAGUCCCGGUAAUUCCUUAUAAGC
rnacentral:lncRNA from 1 species